CUGUCUUGUGAGGGCAGCCAGGGCCUGUUGCAUAGGAGCCACAGUUCACUGCCCUGUGUCUCCCUGCAGAAAAGGGAACCAUGGCCCAAGAUGGAGCUGGCUGCUGGGUCACAGUCACCUCUCAGGGACAAGGCCUCCAGAUCCUCUCCUGCUUGGCCAAGAGCCCAGGCCAGGGUGUAAGCAAGAGGAAUAAAGGUCUCCAGUCUGCAGAGGCUCCUGGGCAAAUGGACCAGCACAGAGCCAGCGCCAGCCCUCCUCCCUGGAAGGGGCAGCAACAGGAUGAGGGGCGUGGCUUCCCGACCUCCUGUGUCCAGAGUGAUGGGGAGGACCCCAGAUGUUCACCCUUGAAGAGCCCAGGCCAGAGGAAAGAUGGGCCCAUCUUAGAGCCACCACACACAAGCAUGCUAAGUAGCAGCUGUGGACACUUCUUGCUGAUGAGCCGAACUCUCAGGGCUGAUUGCCCAGGAGGUGGGGGCUGAUUCCUGGGCUGCUGCAGUGGGUGUUGGUGACAGUGGCCCCCUCGAGCCCCAGCAGGUAUCUCCGCAUCUACCUGGGCAGCUGGGCACACCUGCAGCCAGCAGAUAUCAGUGGGCACCUUGGGCCAUCCCAAGGGGCAGAUGACCAGCCCAGGGGGCCUCUGCACAGCCACAGUACCCCAGGGGAAAUCUACAGACGGUGGAUGGUGACUAGGACUCACGACUGGGAAGAGCAAUGGGCAGAGGCAGCAUUUCCAAAGGAUGGAAACUUGGGGGUCUGGCCAGGCCCAGCAGCCAUGUGUCUGGCCAGUCUACCUUUUUAAAGAUGAGAUGUGCUCAGAUAACAAUGCAAACCUCACCAGAACCUUGGCCCCUUUUCCUCCUAGUGACCUGCAGCAUUUGGGCUGGUGUCUGAGAGAUUGCUGAGGCACCUGAACUAACCUGGGCCCGAACUGUGAUGGUGGCAGAGUUGACUUUGAGGCUCCCUCUUAUCCUUCAAGGCCUAGCUGCAAUGCCACCACAUCCUAGAAGCCUCCCCUGAUGUCCUCAGGCAGAACAGCCUUUCACCCUUUCUGUGUCCAUAUUGCAUCCUCUUCAUACUUUUAUUCCGAUAUUUAUCACGUGGAAUUGCAGUCUUUUCUCCUCUAGGUCUGUCUGUCAUUCCUGAUGGAUAGGAGCUUUUUGAGGGCAAGGCCUGGCCUGCUUGUCUUAUCCUUUCCGUGCCUGGCAUAGGGCCUGUCCAGGGUGAUGCUCCAGGUUUGCCCAAUGAGGGAAUGAGCAGGUGGAUGAAUAAAUGAGCUCUCCCCUCUCGGGAUGGGCUCUGU
rnacentral:lncRNA from 13 species